UUAAGUUCAGCGGGUAUCCUCGUCUGAUCUGAGGUCAAAGAGAAGGGUUUCUUUGAAGGGGGGGCUAGGCCAAGGCUGCCGCAAAAGAAGAGUUCUACUAUUUGCGGUUUGCUGGCUAGCUUACCCCGCGUCAGGUUUAAGCGGGGGGGUCCACGGUGGGACCACCCGCCGCCAACACCGGUAAUUUGGAUACUACCGAA
rnacentral:misc_RNA from 1 species